AUGGCUGCUACAAUGAUGAUUCCUCAUGAGGUCCUGGUUGCUUUUCUCAUCCUGACACUUAACUUGACAGGUACCGAUGGUGAAACACUGACUGAGUCUGAACCAGUGCUUAAAAGACCUGGAGAAUCUCACAGACUGACCUGCACAUAUUCUGGGUUUAGUAGCGAUCCUAGCAUGGCUUGGAUCAGACAGGCAGCUGGGAAAGGACUGGAAUGGAUUGCUUGGAUCUACUACAACAGUGCCUACCUUUCCCACUCUGACUCAGUCAAAAACCGUUUCACCAUCUCCAGAGACAACAGCAGAAAUCAGGUUUAUCUGCAGAUGAACAGUCUGACAGCUGGAGAUUCCGCUGUUUAUUUCUGUGUUCGAGAGGCACAGUGA